GUGCUCACUUCAGCAGCAUACAUACUAAAAUCAGAGCGAUAUAGAGAUUGGCAUGACCCCUGUGCAAGGAUGACACACACAUUCAUGAUGGAUUCCAUAUUUUU